rnacentral:rRNA from 1 species
GACGAACGCUGGCGGCGUGCUUAACACAUGCAAGUCGAACGGAAAGGCCCAGCUUGCUGGGUACUCGCGUGGCGAACGGGUGAGUAACACGUGGGUGAUCUGCCCUCGACUCUGGGAUAAGCCUGGGAAACUGGGUCUAAUACCGGAUAUGACCUUACAUCGCAUGGUGUUUGGUGGAAAGCUUUUGCGGUUCGGGAUGGGCCCGCGGCCUAUCAGCUUGUUGGUGGGGUAAUGGCCUACCAAGGCGACGACGGGUAGCCGACCUGAGAGGGUGAUCGGCCACACUGGGACUGAGACACGGCCCAGACUCCUACGGGAGGCAGCAGUGGGGAAUAUUGCACAAUGGGCGCAAGCCUGAUGCAGCGACGCCGCGUGAGGGAUGACGGCCUUCGGGUUGUAAACCUCUUUCGCCAGGGACGAAGCGUGAGUGACGGUACCUGGAGAAGAAGCACCGGCCAACUACGUG